rnacentral:rRNA from 1 species
UACGUAGGCAGCAAGCGUUGUUCGGAGUUACUGGGCGUAAAGAGUGCGUAGGCGGUCUUUUAAGUUUGGUGUGAAAUCUCCCGGCUCAACUGGGAGGGUGCGCCGAAAACUGGGAGGCUUGAGGAUGGGAGAGGCAUGCGGAAUUCCUGGUGUAGCGGUGAAAUGCGUAGAUAUCAGGAGGAACACCUGCGGUGUAGACAGCAUGCUGGACCAUCACUGACGCUGAGGCACGAAAGCGUGGGUAGCAAACAGG